AGCGAACGCUGGCGGCAGGCCUAACACAUGCAAGUCGAACGAAGUCUUCGGACUUAGUGGCGGACGGGUGAGUAACACGUGGGAACGUGCCUUUAGGUUCGGAAUAACUCAGGGAAACUUGUGCUAAUACCGAAUGUGCCCUUCGGGGGAAAGAUUUAUCGCCUUUAGAGCGGCCCGCGUCUGAUUAGCUAGUUGGUGAGGUAAAGGCUCACCAAGGCGACGAUCAGUAGCUGGUCUGAGAGGAUGAUCAGCCACAUUGGGACUGAGACACGGCCCAACCUACUACGGGAGGCAGCAGUGGGGAAUCUUGCGCAAGGGGCGAAAGCCUGACGCAGCCAUGCCGCGUGAAUGAUGAAGGUCUUAGGAUUGUAAAAUUCUUUCACCGGGGACGAUAAUGACGGUACCCGGAGAAGAAGCCACGGCUAACUUCGUGCCAGCAGCCGCCGUAACAC
rnacentral:rRNA from 1 species